CCAAAGGGGAAAACUUAGAUCAUACCCUGAAGGCAAAAGAAGAUAAAACCAGAAAGAAACCAGAGUCCAGAACAAUUCAUGUAUAAUUUUUUUUUUAAAAAAAAAUAACCCUCUUGCAUCAGCUUGCCCCCACCAUGAUGCUCUCUUUUAAGGGUAUUGGGUUUCAUCUAUAUACCAAAGCCAGCCAAGCUUCUCCUAGCAAACCUAGAUUGCCAAGAGCCAGGAUUCACUUUUUCAAGGCAGAUGAAAAACUUGUUGCUCUUCCUUCCACAAGAACAUUCCUCUCCCAUUCAAAUCUUCGUUCACCCACCCAGCCGCUUCUGCAAUG